AUUGAACGCUGGCGGCAGGCUUAACACAUGCAAGUCGAACGAGUGGCGGACGGGUGAGUAAUGCUUGGGAAUCUAGCUUAUGGAGGGGGAUUACUACGGGAAACUGUAGCUAAUACCGCGUACCAUAGGAUGAGCCCAAGUGGGAUUAUGUAGUUGGUGAGGUAAAGGCUCACCACGCCGACGAUCUCUAGCUGGUCUGAGAGGAGGACCAGCCAAACUGGGACGGAGAAACGGACCAGAAUCCUACGGGAGGCAGCAGUGGGGAAUAUUGCGCAAUGGGGGCAGACGGAAGCAGCCAUGCCGCGUGAAUGAAGAAGGCAAGCGGGUUGUAAAAGUCUUUCGGUAGCGAGGCGUUAACUACAGAAGAAGCACCGGAUAACUCCGUACCAGCAGCCGCGGUAAUAC
rnacentral:rRNA from 1 species